rnacentral:rRNA from 1 species
UACGUAGGGUGCGAGCGUUAAUCGGAAUUACUGGGCGUAAAGGGCGCGUAGGCGGCCCGCUAAGUCGAACGUGAAAUCCCCGAGCUCAACUCGGGAACUGCGUCCGAUACUGGCGGGCUUGAAUCCGGGAGAGGGAUGCGGAAUUCCAGGUGUAGCGGUGAAAUGCGUAGAUAUCUGGAGGAACACCGGUGGCGAGGGCGGCAUCCUGGACCGGCAUUGACGCUGAGGCGCGAAAGCUAGGGGAGCAAACAGG